rnacentral:rRNA from 1 species
ACCUACGGGAGGCAGCAGUGAGGAAUAUUGGUCAAUGGUCGGGAGACUGAACCAGCCAAGCCGCGUGAGGGAGGAAGGUACAGAGUAUAGUAAACCUCUUUUGUCAGGGAACAAAGGCGGGGACGUGUCCCCGGAUGAGUGUACCUGAAGAAAAAGCAUCGGCUAACUCCGUGCCAGCAGCCGCGGUAAUACGGAGGAUGCGAGCGUUAUCCGGAUUUAUUGGGUUUAAAGGGUGCGCAGGCGGUCUGUUAAGUCAGCGGUCAAAGCCCGGGGCUCAACCCCGGCCCGCCGUUGAAACUGGCAGG